UAUUAAAGUUUGUAUCCAUUUCUAAUGUUAAAAACUGACAUAGUAGACAAAAUAACUAAACAACCACGUGUACCUUAUAUUGAUGUAUAUGAACUAGUUUUUAACAGUAAAAAUGGAUAUGAUUUUUAACA
rfam:Gossypium hirsutum cultivar TM-1 chromosome 24, whole genome shotgun sequence